rnacentral:rRNA from 1 species
AACGAACGCUGGCGGCAUGCCUAACACAUGCAAGUCGAACGAGACCUUCGGGUCUAGUGGCGCACGGGUGCGUAACGCGUGGGAACCUGCCCUUAGGUUCGGAAUAACUCCCCGAAAGGGGUGCUAAUACCAGAUAAUGUCUUCGGACCAAAGAUUUAUCGCCUUUGGAUGGGCCCGCGUUGGAUUAGCUAGUUGGUAGGGUAAAAGCCUACCAAGGCGACGAUCCAUAGCUGGUCUGAGAGGAUGAUCAGCCACACUGGGACUGAGACACGGCCCAGACUCCUACGGGAGGCAGCAGUGGGGAAUAUUGGACAAUGGGCGAAAGCCUGAUCCAGCAAUGCCGCGUGAGUGAUGAAGGCCUUAGGGUUGUAAAGCUCUUUUACCCGAGAUGAUAAUGACAGUACCGGGAGAAUAAGCUCCGGCUAACUCCGUG